rnacentral:lncRNA from 1 species
AGAAAAACAGCACAAACAUUCCUUCGGACAUUCAUCAAACAAAUUAAAUAUAAUAGUCGGCACAAUUUAUUCAUGGAUUAGACCUACUGAAUUUAACUUAUCAUCGGGUUUGUAAUUCUAUGAGUAAAACUACGGAUACCAGGAGCAGGAUCAGCAGAAAAAGUACAAUCACGACAAUACUGAAAUCCGAGGAAACUUCAAAACGGAAAAUCCCUAAUCAAAAUGUCAAGCUCAACC